UACGUAGGGUGCGAGCGUUAAUCGGAAUUACUGGGCGUAAAGCGUGCGCAGGCGGUUCGUUAAGUCAGAUGUGAAAGCCCCCGGGCUCAACCUGGGAACUGCAUUUGAAACUGGCGGGCUUGAGUGCGGCAGAGGGGGGUGGAAUUCCGCGUGUAGCAGUGAAAUGCGUAGAGAUGCGGAGGAACACCGAUGGCGAAGGCAGCCCCCUGGGCCGACACUGACGCUCAGGCACGAAAGCGUGGGGAGCAAACAGG
rnacentral:rRNA from 1 species